rnacentral:rRNA from 2 species
UAGGUCGGGUGUGUAAGCGUAGCGAUACGUUGAGCUAACCGAUACUAAUGAACCGUGAGGCUUAACCUUACAACGCCGAAGC